rnacentral:rRNA from 1 species
AUUGAACGCUGGCGGCAGGCCUAACACAUGCAAGUCGAACGAGUGGCGGACGGGUGAGUAAUGUAUGGGGACCUGCCCGAUAGAGGGGGAUAACUACUGGAAACGGUGGCUAAUACCGCAUACUAUCGGAUGAACCCAUAUGGGAUUAGCUAGUGGGUGGGGUAAAGGCUCACCUAGGCAACGAUCCCUAGCUGGUCUGAGAGGAUGACCAGCCACACUGGGACUGAGACACGGCCCAGACUCCUACGAGAGGCAGCAGUGGGGAAUAUUGGACAAUGGGCGAAAGCCUGAUGCAGCCAUGCCGCGUGUAUGAAGAAGGCCUUAGGGUUGUAAAGUACUUUCAGCGGAGAGGCGUUACCCGCAGAAGAAGCACCGGCUAACUCCGUGCCAGCAGCCGCGGUAAUAC